AGGAAUAUUGAAAAUUGUGUAUGUGAAUAUACAUAGUCCUCUAACAUGCCACGGUCUUCAGAAGGAUGCAGGCCUUGGAGACUGCUGUUGUGGAUGGCAAUGAGUGUGACUCAUCUGGCUAUGGAGCUGGAAGUGUAAUAUCAAAGAAAAUAAAUAAGAAGACUGAAAAGAGCAUUAAAUGAGGAAAUGAGGCAUGAAUGCGUGAGACAGAGAUGUUGGGAUUACGAAUUACUAAGAAAACCAAGCAGAUGUGAAUUUUCUUCUCAUGGAGAGAUGGCAAACCUGGCCCAGACAUGGAGUAACAAAAUUCUAAAUGUGGCAAUGGCCAUUCUUUUUUGGUCUAUCUGUUUGUACUGGAUGUUUUGGUGUUGGUUUUCUCUUUUAACCUCAUUCAGAGUAUGUGUUUUUGAAGAACCAUAGACUAAUUUGUUGCAAUCCACGUUAAAAUGUUCCCUUGUAUACAGAUGGGUAACGAAUAAAAUUCAAAAAAGUAAUUUAGUUAAUGGGUUUUUAAAGGUCCGUGGAGUGUCUUCGAGUGGUUCAGGUAGGUAAAAUUCAUUCUUUAAUAUCCCCUAUUGUUUUUUUCUCCAUUUUUUCUUUUUUUUCUCUGGUGAUGGACUGAAUAAAUAUUUUUUCUAUUUUCCAGAUUACUUUAUAUAUUCUUGUUUUCCAGCCACUCUUCCCCAAGCCUGU